UACGAGGGGGGCAAGCGUUGUUCGGAAUUAUUGGGCGUAAAGGGUGCGUAGGCGGUUUGGUAAGUCUUAUGUGAAAUCUACAGGCUCAACUUGUAGUCUGCAUGAGAAACUGCCGGGCUUGAGUAUGGGAGAGGUGAGUGGAAUUCCUGGUGUAGCGGUGAAAUGCGCAGAUAAUCAGGAGGAACACCGGUGGCGAAGGCGGGGUCUCUGGGGCCGAUACUGACGCUGAGGAGCGAAAAGCGUGGGGAGCGAACAGGA
rnacentral:rRNA from 1 species